AUGGGCAAUGGAGAUCCUAAGAAGCUGAGAGGCAAAAUGUCAUGAUAUGCAUUCUUUGUGCAAACUUGUCCGGAGGAGGAGCAUAAGAAGAAGCACCCAGGUGCUUCAGUCAACUUCUCAGAGUUUUCUUUUCUUUUCUUUUUUUUUUUGGGGGACGGAGUCUUGCUCUGUUGCCCAGGCUGGAGUGCAGUGGCACAAUCUCAGCUCACUGCAAGCUCCGCCCCCCGGGUUCACACAAUUAUCCUGCCUCAGCCUCCGCAGUAGCUGGGACUACAGGCGCCCGCCGCUACGCCCGGCUAAUUUUUUGUAUUUUUAGUAGAGACAGGGUUUCACCGUGUUAGCCAGGAUGGUCUCGAUCUCCUGACCUUGUGAUCCGCCAGCCUCGGCCUCCCAAAGUGCUGGGAUUACAGGCGUGAGCCACCGGGCCCGGCCUCAGAGUUUUCUAAGAAGUGCUCAGAGAGGUAGAAGACCAUGUCUGCUGAAGAGAAAGGAAAAUUUGAAGAUAUGGCAAAGGCGGACAAGGCCCAUUAUGAAAGAGAAAUGAAAUCUAUAGCCCUCCUAAAGGGGAGACAAAAAAGAAGUUCAAGGACUCCAGGGCACCCAAGAGCUCUCCUUCGGCCUUUUUCAUGUUCUGCUCUGAGUAUCGCCCAAAAAUCAAAGAAGAACAUCCUGGCCUGCCCAUUGGUGAUGCUGGAAGAAACUGGGACAGGUGUGAAAUAAUACUGUUGCAGAUGACAAGCAGCCUUAUGAAAAGAAGGCUGCGAAGCUGAAGGAAAAACAAGAAAAGGAUAUUGCUGCAUAUCAAGCUAAAGGAAAGCCUGAUGCAGCAUAAAAGGGAAUUGUCAAGUCUGAAAAAAGCAAGAAAAAGAAGGAAGAGGAG
rnacentral:lncRNA from 1 species